UACGUAGGGGCAAGCGUUAUCCGGAAAUCAUUGGGCGUAAAGCGCGUGUAGGCGGUUCCGUAAGUCCGGCUCUCGAAAAGCCCCAGGGCUCAACCCUGGGAGGCGGGUGGAUACGUACGGAACUGGAGUACGGAAGAGGAGAUUGGAAUUCCUGGUGUAGCGGUGAAAUGCGCAGAUAUCAGGAGGAACACCAACAGCGAAGGCAGAUCUCUGGGACGUACUGACGCUGAGACGCGAAAGCGUGGGGAGCAAACAGG
rnacentral:rRNA from 1 species